CCUCCCCUCCAACCUCCGGCCCCUCGCACACCCUGUAAGGGAAUGAGCAAAAGAAGAACCUUUCUUAGAAUACACUUUUUCAUGGGACAUUAGGAAUACGAACAUUACUACAGAUCUCUGAUCAGCUUCAGACUUCAUCUCUUACCAUACCAAGAACAGACACUUUCAGGUCUCCUUGUUGACGAUUCCAAGAUGUCGGCACUUUUGAUGUACCUGAAGCAGCCGAGCUGCAUCUACUGUGCAUAUCUAUGGUUGGCAACCCUGGCUGUGGUGAAUGCACAGAUACCAUUCUUUCAAAAACAGGAAGUGUCACAACCCAAACCUGAUGAGCUUCAGAUUUUAAAUGAAGACACUGAAGGACUUCAUUUCUUAGCGGACCAAGGAAACACAAACAAUCCAGCCCUGGAAUCACAGCCUAUUGAAGUGGCAGCUGUAGGAAGACCUCUGCUUCUUGGUAUGCUGUAUGACUGCCGCAAGGAUACCUUCAUUCCAGGUGUUACUCUGUGGGAUAUUAAAUCAUUGAAGAAAGAUUUGCGCAUUCAUUCACAGCCCAUGACAGAUUUGAAGUUCAGUAGCUCUGACUCUCUCUCUAGUAAGUCCAGUCUCCUGGAUGUAAGUGCUUCCCUGAAGGCCAGCUUCUUGGGAGGGCUGGUGGAAGUGGGAGGAUCUGCCAAAUACCUGCGUGACACCAAAUCCUCAAGACAACAAUCCAGAGUAACAAUGUAUUACAAAGAAACCACACGAUUUGAAGAGCUCACCAUGUCCCAGCUGGGCCAAAUCACCUACCCUCAGGUGUUUGAGCAGAAAACAGCAACUCAUGUGGUCACAGCUGUGCUGUACGGAGCUCAGGCCAUCAUGGUGUUUGAUCGGACAUUUUCAGAAGAGAAAAACAAGCAGGAGAUUGAGGGAGAACUAGAUGUCAUGGUCAAGAAAAUCCCUGGAUUUUUCAUUGAGGGAAAAGGAGCUUUAAAUAUGACAGAUUGUGAUAAGAAAAUGACUGAGAGCAUCACCUGCACAUUUUAUGGUGACUUCCACCUUCAGAAGAGCCCCACCACUUACAUGGAGGCCCUGGAGGUGUACAAGAAGCUCCCCACUAUACUGAAGGAGAAUCCAAAGAAUGCAGUUCCGAUAAAAGUCUGGCUCUAUCCUCUUUAUCUACUGGAUACAAAAGCAGCUCGGUUGGUGAGAGAAAUUAGCACAAGUCUGGUUUCCACCACUGAAGAUAUAAUAGAAGGGCUGGGACAGGCAGAGAGGACAUACAACGACCUCUCCAGAAAAACACUGCUAAAUGUUUUCAGAGACAUCAAAGAGAGGCUGAAAUCAUUUCAGAGAUCAUUUAGCAUUUACAAGACAAUGCUCCUGAAAGCUGUCAGCAGGGUCUUCCUUGCUAUACGAGGAGGAGAGAUGGAGCAAAAUUCAUUGGAAGACAUCCUGAAGAUCCACUACAGCUCCCCUUUUAAUGAUGACAUGCUUAACCAGUGGUUAGAUCAUGCAAAGUCUGAACUUAACAUCUUGAGUUCUCACACCAAGAUGCUGGAGGGAAUCAAAACUGAAGAUUCAGAUCAUCUCAACACCAUCAUCCUUGAUCCUAAUAUUGAUGUUGUGGUGUGCUUGACCUUCACAUCUUUGAAGUAUGAAGACCCGUAUCUUUCAACCCUGAAGGAGUUUCUGAAAUCCGACAAGUUUAAUGAGCUAAAUGGGGAAAAAAACAUGGUUUCUGUGGCAUCUGUCAGAAAGUGGUUCAGCGAUCCUGAUGUCAUCUCAAAUAUGAAAGAGACCUUAUCUCUUUUCAAAAGUUUUUCAGAGGCUAAUAAAGAUGAUAAGAGAUAUCGAUUCAUUAUGUCUGUCAUCCCAGAUCCAUCCAGUCCAGGCUCCUCCAUCUAUCUGUAUGAAAAAGGGAAGCUGACAAACAGACAGUUCCAGCCCGUGUCGAAGCCUCCCCCACCAGAAGCGAAGGAGGUCCUGGACCGCUCUGUGUCCCUGAAACUGCAGAAGUCCCCGACUGGAGAAACUGUGCAGUACAGAGUGGAGUACCAGCAGGUGAAAGCAGAUUCUGGCGCUGAGGAACAGUGGCUUUUCAAAAACACAUCUGAUGAAGACUUUACUCUGACUGAGUUGGAGUUUGGAAAGCAGUACUUGAUCCGCUACAGGAUUGUGGGUAAAGUGGGAGUGAGUGAAGCCAGUGGCACUAUCAGCUCCAUACCGCCUUCAGGUGCACUCAACACAUUUUUGGAGAAUCACAAGGCAGAUGCUACUGUAGGAAGACAAGCAUCAGAGGCAAGCCCCAGUCCUAACUGCAUUGUUCCCAGGACCAGGAACGACUUCUUAAAAUGAUUGGAUCUGUUGUUUUCAAGUAAUGAGUUGUCUAUGUAUAAUGCGAGUAGUCAAAAAUAUAAACAAGCAAAUCCUGUGCAGACCCACAGCAUGCCCUCUAGAAGCCAUCCAAAAAUGAAUUUUAAGGGAAAGUUCGUCCAAAAAAUUAACAUUCUGUCAUCAUUUACUAACCUUCAAGUUGUUUCAAACCUGUAUGAAUUUCUUUCUUCUGCUGAACUCAAAAGAAGAUAUUUUGAAGAAUGCUGGGAAACAUUGACCAUAGUAUUUUUUUUUUCCAUAUCAUGGAAGUCAAUGGGGCCAUAUUCUUCAAAAUAUCUUCUUUUAAUUAAUGAACUUCUAUAGUAGUGAAUGAGAGACUACAUUCAUUUGUGUUCCUAUUUGCUCAAAUAUCAAAAGAAAAACGAUAUUGUUUUCACAACUUUCAAAAAGAGGGUAAAAAUAGAGAUUGAUAACAGCAGUCAGAAGAGGGAAACAUGUCAAUAUUGCCGCUGUAUUAGAAAAACCCUCACACACAGCAUCGUUAACUUCUUUUUUUGUAAUUGGAUGUAAAGGUAAUAUAAUACAAAGUAUAGUGCUAUAAAUGUACAUACAUUUAAAAAAAAAAAAAAAAAAAAAAUUAAAAAAUUAAAAACUGAAGCAUGAAUGCUGCUGAUGACUGUUAAAACACAUCAUCCCAGUCCAUUCAGAUCGUAAAGGGUGGUUUAAACCUAUUCUAAUCUGAUGGAUAGGAAAUGUGAACACUUGAUCAAACUGAAAACUGAAACUGGAAAGUUCUGUGCAUGUGCAAUGAAGUAGAAAUUGUGUAAUGACAUAUAACGCACAGAACAAGCUGUUGUUGAGUAUAGUGUCAUAAAUGACUGUCAUGUCAUUCCAAAACUCUCCGUCCCAUCGGUCCUUGUUUCAAACCGUCAUCCACAGUUGCAUUGUUUUGGGCAGGAAAGGGGCAUUUUUACUGUUUGAUAAAUAAAAGCAGCAUGGCACAAAGCUUCAUGUGCUUGUCAUCUCUUAAUUAGGACCCAUAAUAGAUACAUAUUAAGUCUGCACUUUAAAACAAAGAAAAGAAGGAAUUAAUUAAUUCCGAUUGAAACAAAAGGCACCAAUAGCUACAUCUCAUUUUGAAGGCUGAGUCCUCCGGAGGUGGCAGCUGUCUGCCACAUAUGUCCUUGAGGCUGCUUCAUUUCAGUAAACUGACCACUACAUUCCAAAGUCAGAAAGAAAUUACAACAAUUUAUGCUUCACUAGGAAUAACGGUAAUUUUCAUAGUGGUUACUGUUCUGAAAUAAAACAUCCUUUAUGACGUAUGCAGGCAACAAAUGCCACCUCCAGAGGGCCUUCGAAAUGAGAUGCACCAAUAGUGAACAUAGCUACUACUUUGUUUAUAUAGCAACCAGUUUUUAACAGCAACUGCAGUUAUGCGAUGACGAUUGCCUCUUUUAUUUAGAAAGUGGGACUUAUUCCACCAUAUUGCACAUUGGACUUUCUUCCAUUCAUAAGUAAAAUGUGUACCGUCUUUGUAUAUCUAAAGUCUUUGGAAUUACACAUUAAUCAGUAUCUUUGUUGGUUGGUUGGUGUUUUAACAGCAUGCCAGCCAAGGUUCCCUGGCUUUUUUCUUGGCAAGUAACAAGUUGAAAGGCCAUAAAAGAGCAAUUAAGAAACUUAUAUAAGGUCUUUAAAGUUUACUUUGGAUAAAAACUUUAAAAUGGAUUUAGGGUCAUUACCAUUUCCCACAAGGGUCAAGUCAAGUCACCUUUAUUUAUAUAGUGCUUUUUACAAUGUAGAUUGUGUCAAAGCAGCUUUACAUUGAUAACUGGUACAUUAUUUGGCUGCACAGCAGCUCUUAAAAGAAUAGUGUCAAUGCAGGCAGAUCAAAGCACUGUUGAAUAUCAAAUGUCAAGUCAAAUGUCAAGUGUCCCCAACUAAGCAAGCCAAAGGCGACAGCAGCAAGGAACCCAAACUCCAUCAGGUGACAUCAGGUGGCAGACAAGUGGCAAAUAGGUGUUUAAAUGGAGAAAAAAAACCUUGGGAGAAACCAGGCUUAGUCGGGGGGCCAGUUCUCCUCUGGCCAACAGUGCUUUGUUACGAUUCAGGUAGCUAUCAUAAGUCCAAUAGGAUCGCAACAUUAAAAGUAUUUAUUUCAGUUUCAUCCAAUUGAGGAUCGUAUUCAUCACGGCGGUAUGGACGGUUGUUGAGGAACUGUGUCGUGGCUGUCGUGUCGAUGAGGGCCUCACAGUGGAUGAUCUAGUUGACUCAAUCUCUGCUGACACUUCAGGGCUGCGUUGUGGUCGUGUCAAGGCGCAGGUCCUCUAUCUCACCUGGAUACGGCCCGGAUCCGGCUGACUACGGUGAACCUCGGGAUAACCAGAAAGACUAAUAUUAGCGUAGAUGCCAUUCUUCUUCUGAUGUAACGAGUACAUCAGGUGUUAUAGGAAGUGUUCCCGGUUCCGGCUGACCUACUUUAUGCAGCCUAAUAAUCCUUUAACAGAUUUGAAAAUAUAAAUUGGUAAUGUGUUAUGUGUAUGCCAGGUUAAAGAAAUGUGUUUUUAGUCUAGAUUUAAACUGACAGAGUGUGUCUGCUUCCCGAACAAUGCUAGGAAGAUUGUUCCAGAGUUUAGGUGCCAAAUAGGAGAAGGAUCUACCGUCUGCGGUUGAUUUUGAUAUUCUAGGUAUUAUCAGCUGGCCUGAAUUCUGAGAUCGCAAUAGACGUGAAGGACUAUAAUGAAUUAGGAGCUCGCUCAGGUACUGGGGAGCUAAACCAUUUAGUGCUUUGUAAGUAAUUAGCAAGAUUUUAAAAUCUAUACGAUGUUUAACAGGAAGCCAAUGCAGUGUUGACAGAACUGGGCUAACAUGGUCAUACUUCCUGGUUCUAGUAAAAACUCUAGCUGCUGCAUUUUGUGCGAGCUGUAGUUUAUUUAUCAGGCGAGCGGAACAACCACCCAGUAGAGCGUUACAGUAAUCUAGCCUUGAGGUCAUGAACGCAUGAACUAACUGUUCUGCAUUUGUCAUUGAGAGCAUAUGUCGUAGUUUAGAUAUAUUUUUAAGAUGGAAGAAUGCGGUUUUACAGAUGAAAGACAACAUGAUUGAUGAAAAGAUAACAUGGCCUUCAAAUGAAAGAUUGGUAUCAAAGAGCACACCCAGGUUCCUAACUGAUGAUGAAGACUUAACAGAGCAGCCAUCAAGUGUUAGACAGUAUUCUAGGUUAUUACGUGAAUAAGUUUUUGGUCCAAAAAUUAGAAUCUCUGUUUUUUCUGAAUUUAGUAGUAGGAAAUUGCAGCUAUGCAUUCUGUUAAUUUUGUGAAUUGGUAAGUUUCGUCAGGGCGCGAAGAAAUAUAGAGCUGAGUAUCAUCAGCGUAACAGUGAAAACUAACGCCAUGCUUCCUAAUGAUAUCUCCCAAGGGUAGCAUGUACAGAGUGAACAGCAACGGUCUUAGUACUGAGCCUUGCGGUACUCCAUAUUGAACUUGUGAUCGAUAUGACAUCUCUUCGUUUACUACUACAAACUGAUAACGGUCAGAUAGGUAUGAUUUGAACCAUGACAAUGCAAUUCCACUAAUGCCAACAUAAUUUUCGAGUCUAUUUAAAAGAAUAUUGUGAUCAAUAGUGUCAAAUGCAGCACUAAGAUCCAGUAACACUAAUAGAGAAAUACAACCACGAUCUGAUGAUAAGAGCAAAUCAUUAGUAACUCUAAUGAGAGCAGUCUCAGUACUAUGGUACGGUCUAAAUCCUGACUGGAAAUCCUCACAGAUACCAUUUCUUUCUAAAAAGGAACAUAGUUGUGAUGAUACUACCUUUUCUAGUAUUUUUGACAGAAAAGUGAGAUUUGAGAUUGGCCUGUAAUUGACUAAUUCUCUAGGAUCAAGUUGUGGUUUUUUAAUAAGAGGUUUAAUAAUAGCCAGCUUAAAAGUUUUUGGUACGUAUCCUAGUGAUAAUAAUGAAUUGACGAUAUUAAGAAGAGGAUCUAUAACCUCUGGAAGCAUUUCUUUCAAUAGCUUAGUCGGUAUAGGGUCUAACAUACAUGUUGUUGAUUUUGAUGAUUUAACAAGUUUAGACAAUUCUUCCUCUUCUAAAGCAGUAAAUGAAUUGAAUUUUUCCUCAGGGACAUUACAAUGCACUAUCUGACUUGAUACUGUAGUAGACGGUUGCAUGGUUAUAAUUUUUUCACUAAUAUUAUCAAUCUUGCAAGUAAAGAAGUUCAUAAAGUCAUUACUGCUGUGCUCUUUGGAAACAUCAGAAGUUGAAGCUUUAUUUCUUGUUAAUUUAGCCACUGUAUCAAAUAAAUACCUAGGGUUGUGUUUAUUUUCUUCUAAAAGUUUUGAAAAAUAAGCAGAUCUAGCAGUUUUUAAGGCCUUUCUGUACUCAAUCAUUCUCUCUCUCCACAAAAUGCGAAAUACUUCUAGUUUUGUUUUCUUCCAGCUGCGCUCCAUUUUUCUGGCAGUGUGCCCGAGUGUGCUCAUUGUACCAUGGUAUUGGAUUAAUUUCCUUAAUCUUUUUUAAGCACAAAGGAGCAACUGAGUCUAAUGUGCUGGAAAAGACAGAGGCAAUAGUUUCUGUUGCAACAUCGAGGUCUUCUAAGCUGUCUGGUAUGCUAAGGCGAUGAAACUGAUCAGGAAGAUUAUUUAUAAAGCAAUCUUUAGUGGUAGAAGUGAUGGUUCUACCAUAUUUAUGGCAUGGAGGCAGUUUAGCCGCCUUGACUAAAUGUAGUAUACACGAGACUAGAUAAUGAUCUGAGAUGUCGUCACUCUGCUGCAGAAUUUCAACAGCAUCAAUAUCGAUUCCAUGUGACAAUAUUAGAUCUAAAGUAUGAUUACGACAAUUAGUGGGUCCUGACACAUGUUGUCUAACACCAAUAGAGUUUAGAAUAUCUGCAAAUGCCAAUCCUAAUGCGUCUUUUUUAUUAUCUACAUGGAUAUUAAAAUCACCAACAACAAGGACUUUAUCUGCAGCCAAUACUAACUCCGACAGAAAAUCAGCAAAUUCUUUGAUAAAGUCUGUAUGGUGUCUUGGUGGCCUGUAUACAGUAGCCAGCACAAAUGUCAACCUACAUAAUGUUACGUAAAGUACCAUCACUUCGAAGGAAUUAUAUUUGAAAGACUUUUGACUAAUACUGUAAAUAUUACUAUAGAUUACAGCAACACCUCCCCCUUUGCCUUUCUGAUGGGCAUUGUGUCGAUAAUCAUAACCUUGAGGACUAGACUCAUUUAAAGUAAUGUAAUCGUCCGGUCUUAGCCAAGUUUCUGUCAAACACAGCACAUCUAGAUUAUUAUCUUUGAUAAUAUCAUUAACAAUAAGUGAUUUUGAAGAAAGGGAUCUAAUAUUUAACAACCCAAGCUUUAUCAUUUGUUUAUCAGUAUUAUCUCUAUUUUUUAUUUGUUGAACAUCAAUUACAUUUUUACCAUUAAAUGGGUUUGGAAGUUUUUUGUUUUUACUAAUUCGGGGUACAGACACAGUCUCUAUGUGAUAAUAUCUAGGUGUAAGAGUUUCUAUGUGUUGGGAGUUAUCUGAAUUUUCUGACUUCUGUAACGUGAGGCAGCUAGCAGACGGUCGGUUUAGCCAGUCUGUCUGCUUCCUGACCUGGGCCCCAGUUUGUCAUGUUUCAGCUCUAAGACUAUGUGCCAUAUUACUAGAGAGAAGAGCAGCACCAUCCCGGGAGGGAUGAAUACCAUCUCUUUUCAACAGGUCAGGUCUGCCCCAAAAACUUUUCCAAUUGUCUAUGAAACCUAUAUUAUUUUGCGGACACCACUUAGACAGCCAGCCAUUGAGUGAUGAUAAUCUGCUAUCUCAUCACUCCGACGAACAGAAAGGGGGCCAGAGCAAAUUACUUCUCCUGACAUUGUACUUGCGAGUUCACACACCUCUUUAAUGUUAAUUUUAGUGAUCUCCGACUGGCGAAGUCGAACAUCAUUAGUGCCGACGUGAAUAAUAAUCUUAGAGUAUUUACAAUUAGCAUUAGCCAGCACUUUUAAAUUUGCUUUGAUGUCAGGUGCUCUGGCUCCCGGCAAACAUGUGACUAUGGUGGCUGGUGUCUCUAUUUUCACAUUUCGUGUAAUAGAAUCGCCAAUAACUAGGGCACUUUCAGCAGGAUUCUCAGUGGCUGUAUCACUGAGUGGGGAGAACCUGUUUGAUGUUCUUAUUGGAACGGAAGAGUGGUGUUUUCCGCGGCUAGGCCGCCUCACUGUUACCCAAGUGCCCUGCUGCGAUGUACAGAGUUCACUAAGCUAGUCGCAUCCAAAACAGUAUCUGAAGCCCUUGCAUUCUUACUAUCCUCGAUUAAAGUUUGGAUGCGUGUCUCUAAUUCUGAGAUUCUCUCUGUCAGCCUGACUACUUCCCUACAUUUAUGACAUGUAAAUCCCUCGUCGCUGACAGAGAGAGCUAUGGUAAACAUGUGGCAAAUGGAACAGGUAGCAAUGCUGGGAGAGGAUGACAUGACUCACCGUGUUUGUAGACUGAUCCGACUUACCACAGCUGUUUGAAGAACGCGUUGAAAAAGGAGCGCGCGAGAGACUGUUAACAAGUUAACAAGCUAGCGCUGCAAAUGCAAAUGCGUUGUAACAGCGAUUUAGAUUCAAAGAUUACAAGCUAGCGACGUCAGAUUAGUUUGGUAGGCAAUAUUACAUAUAAGGUAAUAAAAAAAAAAAAUAAAAAAAAAAUAAGCAACAAUGAAUAAAAGAGAUUCAAAACAAAGCUAUACAGAGUUACAGACGCAAACAAAUCUGAGCAGCGAGGCAGACAGGAGCAAUUGAGCAAUCGACCUGACAGUAAACAGCUGUAAAGGGUGCCCAAUUAUUAAGUGUUUCUUAAAAUCUUAUCUUAUUAGCUGGUUCAGGUGUGUUUGAUUAAGGCUGGAGCUGCAGCAACUUUGCAGAAAGGUAGAUCUCUAGGAACAGGAUUGGGCACCCUUGAUAUACAGUAUAAAUAGGUUACGAUAUCCAUCUUUCUGUUCAUCUUCUGAGAUCCUUUAAUUUUGUGCCCUGCAGACCUUGAUUUCAACGUCUUCAAUGCCUGUGUGAGGAGGCUUAAAGAAAGACUGUAAGGUGCUGUCACAUUAGCGAAAUUUUGCAGGCAAAAAAAAAAAAAAAGAAGUCAAUUUUCAAUAGUCUAGCAUAGAGGAUCUCAAACUUUUUUGUCAGCCAAACCCCCUUUGUCAUAAAAUAUUUUCUUGUAGUAGCCCCUGAGAUUUAAAGUUAAUAUUUCAAUAAUUUAACAACAUAUUUGCAUGUACAGUUCUCUGAUGUCGGAUAAUGGUAACAUGACAUGCAGGCAAACACAUAAAAUGUUUUUAGUAAGAGUUUUGUUUUGUUUUAAUUUUAAAAUUAUGCAUUUACAGUACAUGGCUGCUCGAUUUCAUUCUGUCAUACAUUGCCAAUGUAUGCCAAGUAUGAAGCACAGCUCACACAGACAUCACUUUCAAACCAAUUCGCCGAACAACGGUAAAUGUAACCUCUCUAUAUUUGGUAAAGAAUUUCAAAUAUCUCAACUAGCUGAUGAUACUACUGUAUUUCAUAAAGACCAAAGUCAAAUUACAUUGAGUAUCAAUAUUAUUAAAUCUUUCUCUGAAGCCUCAGGCUUAUAUUUAAAUUUAUUAAAGUGUGAGCUAUUUUGUCUUUAUGACACCCAACAAGCAUUGAUACUCCAUAUACCCAUAAAAGACUGUAUCAAGUACCUGGGGAUUUUUCCUUACUAAAGAUGGAUUACUCAUCAACAACUUAAUUUUUCACCUAAAAUAACGAAAACUAGAACAAUCUUUGGUAACACUUUAGAAUACUGUUUCUUACUUACUGCAUAACUAAUAAGGAAUUACUGUUGAACUAAUAGGUAAUUCUUCAUUAACACUUAAGUCACUACUGUAAUCAGUAACUAAUGAAUUCUGUCAUAUCUCCUGAAGAACUACUGUUAAUUAUCUACUAAUUAAGGUUCAAGAAAAAUAACUAUGAAGUAACUACUAAUGAACAAACACAAUUACAUUGAGUUGUCACCCUUUCUUAUUUACUAAUGUUAUCAGUAGUAGUAUUAUGAAAAUGCAAUAUUAAUAAAUACAAUACAUUUUAUAGAGGUUUUUGCCUGUGUGGUAAAUAAUUGUUUUGUGAGUGUGUUCUGUAAGAAAUUUCGGAAAGGAACCCCACCCCCACUCUAAAUGCCUUCACAGCCGACUUACCUCAUAUUAGUUUUUAUAUUUCAUAUACAGUACUGUAAGUGUGUCUGUUUUCCUCAGCAUAUCACAUUACCAUUGACUAAAUUCCAGUAUGUAAGGCAAUGACUGAGGGAAAGUGAAAAUACAGGAAACCCAUUAGUAAUUAAUAAAGAAUUAUUAGAACCUGAAACAGUUUUCUAAAGUGAAAAUAUAGGGAACCCAUUAGCAAUUCAUAAAUAAUUACCACAUAAUGCUGACUCAAAUCAAACUUACACUCUGAAAAACAGACAAACAAACAAACAAAAAAAACACUAUUAACGUAAUAAUCUAAAAAACUUUGUAAAAUACACAACACAACCACUAGUUUACAUGAUAUCUUCCUUUAUUUCAGAUGAGAACAUUUCUUAAUACAGCAUAUUUUAUUCCGUUUUAACAUGUAUACUUACAUUUAAACUCGUUUAACAAACAUUUUUGAAUCAAAAGUUAAAACAUUUAAAAGCAAGUGUAAUCAACCGGCCUCGGUUAUCCCGUUUCCAGAGGGUAGCUGUAACGAAGCGGGACUCAGGGUAAGAUCCAUUUUCAAGCUUUUAUUAAAGCAGAGUUCGUAAUCAAACAGGUAAGGGUCAAACAGGUAUGGCAGAGAGCAGGCAGAAUCGUGGGGUCGUGGAACAGGCAGUAGAAUCAGGGCAGGCAGAUAUCAAUCACAGAACCAGGAAACAAUAAACAGUCCAAAGGCAGGCAGCAGAGAAUCAUACACGGGGAACAGACAGGAACAGAAACAGGCAGGCAAACAGGAUAACACACUCAGAAUUGCAACCAGGGUAUACAAGACCUCGCAAAGUGUGUGUGGAUGUGAGUGGCUUAAAUAGUCUGGGUAAUGAGCUGCAGCUGGGUGUGGUGAUUAUUGAUUGGUGGAGUGAGUGCAGGUGACAGGCAGGGAGGAUUGUGGGAAACGAAGUCCGGGAAUGACUGGAACUGUGACGGUAGCGGUGCUGGAUCUUGUGUGGGAGCUGGGCUCGUGUUCGGUGGGGAAACUGCUAACUUCAGACUGCCGCCGUGUGUUUCACUCAUUGCCGAAAGAUGCUGUGAGUGACUCCAUAACCUGCCCAUAAUCAAACAGUGCAGAGCUCUGAGAACAUAUCUUAAAAUCUUAAGUAAUUAGAUAUCUUUAGAAAUAAAAUAAUGUGUUUUAUGCAAGGGAUCAGGCAUUUCCAUCAUGCAAAAAGACCAAUGCGACACUCGUUAGGUGACUGACAUCACGUACCUGUAUGUUGUCUUGCAUAAAAUAAAAUGAUUUACAGCACAGCAAUGAUUUUAUAGAUAAAAUAAAACGUACACAAACCUGUAUUUCGCCGAUGAAAUGCACCAAUUCGGCGGCACAAGAACUGCUCUCUCCUGAAGAGGAUGAAAAUGCCCGCGCUCAGUAGGGGGACGGGCGGGGGGGAUAACAACACAAAAACUACCCAACACUGAAAAAAUAACGCAAUAAAUAAAUAAAUAAGUAAGUAAAACAUUUUAUAUCUGUGGUAAGUUGGAUAGUUAUGGCAAGACAGUGGGGGUGGGGUUCUUUUCCGAAGCUGAUUUCUUACAGAACAUGCGCACAAAGUAGUUAUUCACCAUUCAGGCAAAAACUUCUGAACAAGUCUUUUUGGGAGUGCAGCAUAUUAUGCAGCAUAUAAAUGCAUAUUUAAUUACCAUAAUAAUAAUACUAAGUGGUGGACUGUAACAAAGUAGUUGUAAUUUUACUUAAGUUAGUUACUUCAUAGUUAGUUAUUUUUCUUGAACCUUAAUUAGUAGAUAUUUAACAGUAGUUCUUCAGGAGGUAUGACAGAAUUCAUUAGUUAUUGAUUAGCUAACUGUUACUUAACAUAAUCAUAAAAUUCUAUUACAUACUGAUUAAUUAACUGAUUAAAUAACUGAUUAAUCUUCCUUAGUGGUGACUUAAUGAAGAAUUACCCAUUAGUUCUUCAGUAAUUCCUAAUUAGUUAUGCAGUAAGUAAGAAACAGUAUUCUAAAGUGUUACCCAAUCUUUAACUUUUGGUUACAACCAAUCAACAAAGAGUUCUUAUAUCCAAAGCAGAGGGUUUGUCUCGUUGUGUUUAUCCCUCUUUAUCUUUAUUUGUUAGCGACAAAAUUUGUGAUGAUAUUGACAAAAUGUUUAAACACAAAGUUAGGAAAUCUGUUUUGUCUAAUAGACAUUCUGAGGGUGGACUGAAAGUUUUAAAUUUCAAGGAAUUGGUCAGCUCUUUUAGAAUUAGUUGGUUAAAAAAAAAUGUCUUUGUAGUAAUGACGCAAUUUGGUACUAUAUCCCCAGUGCCAUAUUUCAUAGAUUAGGUGGCUUAGAGUUUCUUUUAAAAUGUACUUUUACCCCUUCUAAAUUACUGAUUUCUCUCUCUAAAUUUCACCAACAAGUUUUACUUGCUUGGAAAUUGUGUUAUGUGCAUAACUUUUCUCCCCACAAAGAAAUUCUGUGGAAUAACUCAAAUAUUUUAAUCUGAAACAAAUCUUUUUUUUUAUGGACAAGUGGUAUGAUAGAGGUAUCGUGAUAACAUUGAUUUGCAAAUUUAUUUUAGAAAACCCAUCAAAGAUCACAUACCCCAAACACAGCAAAACAUAUAACCCUCAGCUUUAAUUAUCACAGUUAAGACAGUUUUACAUUUUACUUAAACACACCUCCACAGAGAACAGGUCAAGACAAACAACAACAACAACAAAACAGACAAAAACUCUGAAGUGCAAAACCACAUCUUGACUGAAAGCAGAAAUGGCAUUUGCUCACUUGUGUUUUCCCAUACGCUUAGUAUGCGCAUAGUCUUAGUCACGAUUGAUCACAACCACCCAAAACAUGAAUGAAUAGAAUAACUUUGUCAAAGCAAACCCAUUCACGUAUGGAAUUUACAACUCAGUUCGGCUUUCAAACAGUUUUUUUUUUUUUUUCACAUUAAUGCAAAGCAAAACCAAAAAAACUUGCAUGUAUGUGUGGGGGUGGCAUGUCUGUGGGGGGACUAGUUGUUUUAGUCCAUUACCCACUGCAAAGAGGAAUGAUCCGUAAUCACUGUAAACAAUUGGUGUUCCAGGUAGUGUUGCCAUUUGUCAAGUGCCCAAACCAAUGCUAGGCACUCUUUUUCCAUGGUGGAGUAGUUAACCUCUGCUUUAUUUAAGGUUCAACUGGCGUAAACGAUCACUUUUUCACUGCCUUGCUCCUUCCGCUGGGUCACAGCACCCAGGCCAGUGUCGCUUGCAUCAGUGCACACUGUGAAAGGUGACUGAAGGUUGGGAUGUCCCAAAAUGGGUGGUGAUGUAAGACAAGCUUUCAAGUAAUCAAAGUCUUGUUGACACUGUGACGUCCAUUGAAAUGGUUGACCUUUCUUUUUCAAGGUUUUAAGAGUUUCAGCGAUCCUCGAGAAGUUUGGAACAAAUCGAUGAUACCAUCCAGUUAAUCCCAAGAAACGCUGGACUUCCUUAAGAUUGCGAGGAACUGUGUAAGUAUGGAUGGCUUCCACCUUACUUGGAUCUGCAGUGAUACCUUGACUGUUGACUACAUGACCAAGAAAGGUGAUCUCACGGAGACAGAACUUGCAUUUUUUCAGGUUCAGGGUUAAUCCAGCUGUUUGCAGCUUCUGCAAGAUGGUCUGGAUGUCAGAAAUGUUGGUCCAUAGAUCGUGAAUAAACAAUAAUGUCGUCAAUAUAGACAAAGCACAUGAUUCUGAGCAACCCUCUCAUGACUAUCUCCAUGAGUCAUUGGAACCUUGCCGGUGCAUUUUUCAGGCCAAAGGGCAUAACAUUAAAAUGAUAUAGCCCUCUGGAAGUAAUAAAAGCAGUCUUCAGCUUACUCUCUGGUUCCAUGGGAACCUGCCAAUAGCCACUGUUAAGAUCCAAGGUUGAAAAAAUGGAUGCACCGGAGAGUGACUCCAAAAUUUCUGUGAUGUUAGGCAGUGGAUAAGCAUCACUCUCGGUGAGGGCACUGACCUUUCGAUAGUCUACACAGAAUCUGAGACUUCCAUCUUUUUUAGGAACUAAAACAACCAGGGAAGCCCAUGCGGAAUGAGAGGUUUCUAUGCUGCCAGCAUCCAACAUGUCUUUGAUCUGAUCUUUAACUAUGGCUUGCUUCACAGGUGUGAGCCAGUAAGGUCGUUGUUUGAUAGGUACUUUUUGAUUGAUGUGUAAGCAGUGUUGAAGAACAUUCGUUCAUACUGGCCAGCGCGUACACACUGUUGGAUGCGAUUCCAAGAUUUGGCGUAACUAAACUUCGUCAUUGUGAGACAAGGUUGCUUUCUUGAUUGCUUUGUCAAUUAAGACUUGACCCUCGGUAAGUGUAGAAUCAGUUUCUCGUGAUGCCAACAGGAGUUGAGGUGGUGGAACAACGCUCAGUAGAGAACGAUUUUGUUAAGAACUUUUAGACUGCUUGGUUUUCCAUGGACACGAAACUCUACUUGUUGGUUUGAUUGCUUGUCCUGGCUGGAAAAAGUAUUCCACUUCAGGUGCACAUUUAAAAAAAUACUUCCCAUCAGCAAUAUUGAGUUGAAGACCACUUAGGAAGAUGAAGUCCAGCCCUAAGACUGCAAGGAAAACUCUGAUUAUGAAGUUUAAUCAGUACACUGAUCCAUCCCAGUGGAGCUUCGGCCUCGCCAUUCGGUAGAUAGAGAGGUCCUGAGGUCCAUGGUUGAAGACUCUCUUGAGGUGUAAGUUCCUUCCACAAACUCUCAUGUAUGAGGGUAUAGCUGGCUUCAGUGUCUCCAGUGUACUGCACAUUGUGGGUUGUCAGGAACAGGAAUACUUUUUGAAAUAGGUGCUGUCUUUGUGGCUGAGACUGCAUUGUUGGAGGGUGGACCACCUUGUUUUGGACCUUGGUGUGGUCUCUUGCUUUGAGAUGGCUGUGACUGAUGAAAUGUUUGCUUUGAAGAAGAUGAGGAGUAACCAGAACAGUUCCCUGGAGGAUGGUGACCCUUAAACUGCCAGCACUGAACCGAAGUCUAGUCCAUCUGUUGAAUUACAGGUGCUCGAGGUGACAUAGACAGUUGUUUGUGGUGUAAGCUGCUCUCAUAUUGGAGUUGCUGCUCAUAGUCCUUCUCCAGUUGAUGAUCUAGCUUAACCAACUCCUCCAUUGUAGAUACUCAACUGCGGAGCUGGCUGGCAAGGUGACGUUUAAUAUUUUUCAAAAUAAUUUUUACAAUUUCACUCUCUGUUAAUGUUGACUUCCAUCUCUUGCAUAAGGCUCUGUAUGAAAAAGCAAAAUCCCUAAUGGGUUCUUUCUCACCUUGAGUUCUUAUUAUGACUCUUUCUGCUAUCUCAUCCUCAUAGUCUUUAGAAUGAAAUGCAGAAAGGAAAGCUGCCUCAAAUUCAGUCCAGGUAAAUACAGAGGUACGUGCCACCUCCACCAGUCGCGGGCAGUUCCAUACAAAACUGUACGGAAAGUAGCUAAUAGAUCCACAUCGGACAAUGGAUGCAAUGCCAGGAAAUAUUGACAUUGAGUUAAGAAGUUCAAAGGAUCUGGAUCAUCAGUUGGUUUUCCAAAGGUGGGAAAAGUAAGUCGUAGAUAAUCACUUUUAGCUAUAGGAACAGGUGAAAUGGUGGUAGUAAGUGGUACUGAGCUUGGUGAUGCAUGAAUAUUGGUUGAAGAUACUGCUGAAGAUACUUUCUGUUGGUAGGCAGACAUCUCUUUAAUCUCUUUCAUCUGUGUUUGAAGUUGGUCAGACAAGUCUGACUGAAAUUAAGUGUUGAUACAGAAGUCAUCCAUUUGAUUUUUGUAUUGAUGGAAUUCUUUGUUGGACUGUUCUUGACUGUUUUUCAGACUCUGAAAAGUGGCCUUGAGGUCCUGCUGAACUUCUGCUUGAAGCUGUUGAACCAGGAAAUGCACUUCAGAAAUAACAGUAGUCUCGACUUUAAUUCUUCUGUGAUUAUACGCUUUGUAGCCUUAGACCAUUGAUCUAUCUCACUUUCCAUCUUUUGUGUGUUAUCAGUGAUGUACUUUAGUAAUUGUUUCUGGUUGUCCUCCAUCUUGACUACCACAGUUAAAAUAUGAGUUGAAUGCUGUGAAAACUUGGUUUUAUCUCUUGGGCGAGUUGUGUAACUGCGUUCUCCUGUCGCUGGACAAAUGUCUUUAAGGUGUCCAAGUUUCCUUGUACUUGUUUAGUAAGUUGCUGGAUUCCUCGGCCUGGUGUUUGAAGUUCACAUGGGUAACGCCUGCUGUCCCACAGAUGAAGAAGACUCAGGGGUUGUGCAAAUCUGCAUGUGAUCUCCAUUUGGAUCCCAGGACUUGGCAUCUGCACACAGUGCCAAAGCUACCAGUACCUGGUUUAAGGACCAUGGUAUCCCUGUUCUUAAUUGGCCAGCAAACUCGCCUGACCUUAACCCCAUAGAAAAUCUAUGGGGUAUUGUGAAGAGGAAGAUGCGAUAUGCCAGACCCAACAAUGCAGAAGAGCUGAAGGCCACUAUCAGAGCAACCUGGGCUCUUAUAACACCUGAGCAGUGCCACAGACUGAUCGACUCCAUGCCACGCCGCAUUGCUGCAGUAAUUCAGGCAAAAGGAGCCCCAACUAAGUAUUGAGUGCUGUACAUGCUCAUACUUUUCAUGUUCAUACUUUUCAGUUGGCCAAGAUUUCUAAAAAUCCUUUCUUUGUAUUGGUCUUAAGUAAUAUUCUAAUUUUCUGAGAAACUGAAUUUGGGAUUUUCCUUAGUUGUCAGUUAUAAUCAUCAAAAUUAAAAGAAAUAAACAUUUGAAAUAUAUCAGUCUGUGUGUAAUGAAUGAAUAUAAUAUACAAGUUUCACUUUUUGAAUGGAAUUAGUGAAAUAAAUCAACUUUUUGAUGAUAUUCUAAUUAUAUGACCAGCACCUGUGUGUGUGUGUAUAUAUAUAUAUACUGUUUAUAGUAUAGUGGAUAUUAACAUAAAUUUUGAUAUGUUAUUAAAAUAAAUGUGAAGUAAUUAAAUGUCAUGAUGAGUAGCUGAACUUUUAAAACUUAGUAAGCAUGAUUCAUAACUUCAAAACAAUAGUCUUUGGUUACACUUUCUUUCGAUGGUCCACUUUAGACAUUCUACUAACUACUUUUGCAACUACAUGUCAGCUAACAAGGACAACUACAAGGUACUUCAACAACUGGACAGGAAAUGAGAACAAUAUUUUCUUUUAUUUUUACCCCUUUUCCACCCAGGCAGUUUGAGUGCUGGUUCAGAGCCAGAGCCUAGUUUCAAAUCAGUUCUUUGUCUUUGACACCCAAAGCACCAGCUCUGAACCAGGAAGAGUGGUUCGUAAGUAGUACCAAAACAUUGCUGGUCUAGAAACAAGAACUGCUUGUGUCAGGGGCUGGGGGCGGGGUUACCGUGACCAACAAGAAACUUGUGACCGCCAUAUUUGAAAUAGCAGCUAAUCGAGCUAAUAGCAGCUCGAUUGUAAUCCAAGCCGUGUUUGGAUGCCGAUGUAGGUUCGCAAAGCCAUGAGCAUCAGUAGUAACAAAACGUCCGCCAUUGUUGAUGGAAGGCUUGUCCGAGAUGUAUCGGAGCGGUGCAGACCGAUCGGCGGGUGACAUCGGAGUGCCAUGGGUCCGCGGGACCAUUUGUAGAGCAUACGACUCCUUGUGCUUUUGGAUCGCUCUCACGGUUCUUUGAUGUCAUGCGCCGAUCGCUCUGCAAGAAGCCGAUGCAUCUCGAACAAGCUUGGUGUGUUUGGCGCUGCCAUGCUAGCGUUGCUGGUAAAGAUGAGACGUAAACAGUGAAGUAAGACUUGGCUCUGUGCUGGCUCUCUAGCCUGUGGAAAGGCAAACCGGUUCUUAGAAGGUUCGUCAGUCGAACCAACUCCGAACUGGCACUAGCACUAGCUCUGAACUAGCACCCUGGUGGAAAAGGGGUAAUACAAAAAAACAGGGUAUGCAUAAUAACAGUGAAGCUGUAUUUGUGACAUGUGGUAACGUGAUUCACAUGUUAAAAGCCAUUACAACAUGUGAAAAUAUUUUCCACGUGCGACAUUCACGUGGUUUUUCUGUAAGGGUGUUCUUCCUGUAGAAGGAGAAAGAAAACAUGACAGAAGUGUUUUAGAGUUGAUCGUGUAAAUGAUUUUUCACAGGAUAUCUGGUAAACUGUACUGAGACAUUGCUGAUAUAUUAAACGAAGAGUUCAGAUACAUUAAAAGAUCAGAUUGAUCAUUCCUGAUUGUGAUGUGUUUUAUCUCCAUCA